rnacentral:misc_RNA from 1 species
AACUUUUGACAAUGGAUCUCUUGGCUCUCGCAUCGAUGAAGAACGCAGCGAAAUGCUAUAAGUAAUGUGAAUUGCAGAAUUCAGUGAAUCAUCGAAUCUUUGAACGCACCUUGCGCCCCUCGGUUAUUCCUUGGGGCAUGCCUUUUUGAGUAUCAUGAACACCUUAACUCUCACGGUCUUCCGUGACGAGCUUUGACUUUGGGGGUUUGCUGGCCCUGCGGCCGGCUCCUCUCAAACAAACCAGCUUGCCCGUGUUUGGCGGCAUCUCACGUGUGUGAUAACUAUCUACGCUCGCGGUUGUCUGCCAGGUAACACUCAGCAAUGAAGGUUCAUUGGGGCUCAUAAACGUCUCUCCCCGGCGAGGACAGCUUUUGAACGUUCGAUCUCAAAUCAGGUAGGACUACCCGCUGAACUUAAGCAUAUCAAUAAGCGGAGGCU